CGGCAGGCUGCUGGGCAGGGGAGGUGGGAAAAGUAAACCAGUGUGCAGUCGGGGAGUGGGAUGAUAUAGACUAUUGUGUUCAGACCUCACCUGUGCCCACUGUCUCCUCUUGUGGCAGGGCAGGGCACUAAAGGAACAACAGGCAGAAUGCUGCUUUUCUAGUGUUCAGAAUGGCUAGUUCAGGUUUACUUUUCUGGCUUAGUUUGGACAAGCUCCUGUUAAUCAAGCUGUGGGAUGGAACUUCCGGGGACAGCAAAAGGUGCUAUUUUCCCUCCUGCAGGAACUCUCUUCAAAUUGCAAAAAGUACAAGUUACCCCCACAGAAUGCUGGGAAUCAUGCUUGUUACCUUCUUGCUUCAAUCCUCUAGUGUAUUUGAUGAAAAAAACUGAGCUCCAGAGAACUUAAGUAACUUGUACAAGGACAUAAGAAAAUAAUAAUCUGAAACUUGGAAAUAAGCAAAAGAAGAAUGACUGCCGGCAUCUCUUUUUAGUAUCAUCAGAAGCUCUACCUAACAGGCCAUCCUACUUCCAAGGAUUAUUUAAAUCUCUAGGGAGAGUACCUUUGAUUAAUUAUUUCUUAUGAUUAGGGCCUAUAUUCUGUGAAAAUACAGAGUCCAAGUUUUAACUUUGUAGAUUAUUAAAUUAUAAAUUGUAUUUCUCCCAUAGAGAUGCAAAUUAUUUCUUUCUAUUAUAAAAGAUAAUCCCAAAGGUCAUAAUUUUAUCGACCAGUAAGACAUUACCCAGUUUUAUAUCUAACAAGCUCAUUUCAACUUUUUUUUUCUGAUAGGAUAAAUAAAUAC
rnacentral:lncRNA from 10 species